GGUGAACGCUGGCGGCGUGCCUAAUACAUGCAAGUCGAGCGAACAGACGAUAAGCUUUCGCCUCUGACGUUGGCGGCUGACGGGUGGGUAAGACGUGGAUAACCUACCUAUAAUACGGGGGGAACUUCGUGAAACCGGUUCUAAUACCGGCUAAUAUAUUGAACGGCAUGGUUCAAGAGUUAAUGGCGGUUUUGCUGUCACUUUGAGAUGGAGCCGCGCCGCAUUAGUUGGUUGGUAAGGUAACGGCUUACCAAGGCAACGGUGCCUAUCCGACCUGAGAGGGUGGAUCGGCACACUGGAACUGAGGCCCGGUCCAGACUCCUACGGGAGGCAGCCGUAGGGAAUCUUCCGCAAUGGGGCGCAGCCUGACGGCGCACAGCCGGCGGAGUGAUGAAGGUCUUCCGAUCUUAAAACUCUGUUAUUUGGGAAGAAAAAAUGUGAAGGUAACUCUGCACGUCUUGACGGUAACUAAACAGAAAGCCACCGCUAACUACGUG
rnacentral:rRNA from 1 species